rnacentral:rRNA from 1 species
GACUAUGCCUGCUGGGUAUUUAUUUACUCAGCUGUUAUAGGAAGGUCGGGAGUUGGUGGGUUGCAGUUUCAGACCAUGAGUCUCUCUUUGUAAAGAAGCAACUUUUCACUUAGGAAGUGGUUUUAGGAUAUUCGCCGAGGAUGCCCGAUGAAAUUCACAACACCAGUAUAGAGACUUGGGCAAUAAUUUGAUGACUGACCAAAGGGAAACAACACUGUAUAAAGAGGCAUAUAUAGGGGUGGGCAAGAGUGGUGCCAGCACCCGCGGUUACACCACUGUCCCCAAGCUAAUAUUUACGAAGGCACAAAUUUGGUGCAGGGAAAAUUCAAGUGGAGGAGCCACGGUGACAGGACCGGUGCAAUGGUAGGAUAGUUUGCACAAUGGGGGCUAUUAUUCUUCGUACGCUCGCUACCAGAAAUUUUGGGUAGGGACCGGGAUUAGAUACCCCGUUACUCCUUAGUGUAAAGGGAUUGCCUUGGGACUACGAGCUUGUGCUUAAAACCUAAAGAACUUGGCGGUAACGAAAAUCAGCCCAGGGGAGCGUGACGGUUAAUUCGAUGAUCCACGAACACUUUACCCUUUCUUGUUAAUCUUUCAGUUUGCAUACCGCCGUUGACAGCCUAUCCUAAUGAGGGCCUUAGGAAAUAGGCAAAAUCUACUUCCAAUCUUGGGAAGUCUAGAGGACAUCAGGUAAACGUGCAGCCUAUGGAAGGGGCUUAGUUUCGCUACAAUUCUCAUAGAAUUACGAAGGCCUGGUUGAAACACCUCGCUGAAGGCGGACUUGGCAGUAAGGACCUCAAUUAAAAGGGUCUGAACGCGUUCAUUUGUUGCGUACAAAUCGCCCGUCGCUCGCGGAUAAUAAAACUGGGAUAAGUCGUAACAUAGUAGGAGUACCGGAAGGUGCUCCUGAA